rnacentral:rRNA from 1 species
AACGAACGCUGGCGGCAGGCCUAACACAUGCAAGUCGAACGCCCUAGCAAUAGGGAGUGGCAGACGGGUGAGUAACACGUGGGAACCUUCCCUAUAGUACGGAAUAGCUCAGGGAAACUUGAAGUAAUACCGUAUACGCCCGAGAGGGGAAAGAUUUAUCGCUAUAGGAUGGGCCCGCGUCGGAUUAGCUAGUUGGUGAGGUAAUGGCUCACCAAGGCGACGAUCCGUAGCUGGUUUGAGAGAACGACCAGCCACACUGGGACUGAGACACGGCCCAGACUCCUACGGGAGGCAGCAGUGGGGAAUAUUGGACAAUGGGCGCAAGCCUGAUCCAGCCAUGCCGCGUGAGUGAUGAAGGCCUUAGGGUUGUAAAGCUCUUUUAGCAGGGAAGAUAAUGACUGUACCUGCAGAUAAGCUCCGGCUAACUUCGUGCCAGCAGCCGCGGUAAU